AGUGAUGGAGGUGCAGGCAUUUCCUGGGAUUAAUGACCAGCUGGGAAGAACCAGUGGCCCUUGGCUCUGCCUCCCAGCCAGCCAUUAAUUCCAAGGAAAUGUCUUUUGCUGAGGUCGUU
rnacentral:pre_miRNA from 1 species